AACGUAGGAGGCAAGCGUUGUCCGGAUUUACUGGGUGUAAAGGGUGCGCAGGCGGACUGGUAAGUCAGAGGUGAAAUCUCGUCGCUUAACGACGAAACUGCCUUUGAUACUAUCAGUCUUGAGUCCGGUAGAGAUCUGUGGAAUUCCGAGUGUAGCAGUGAAAUGUGUAGAUAUUCGGAAGAACACCAGUGGCGAAGGCAGCAGAUUGGGCCGGUACUGACGCUCAGGCACGAAAGCAUGGGGAUCAAACAGG
rnacentral:rRNA from 1 species